UACAGAGGGUGCAAGCGUUAAUCGGAUUUACUGGGCGUAAAGGGCGCGUAGGCGGUUGAGUGAGUGUGAUGUGAAAGCCCCGGGCUUAACCUGGGAAGAGCAUCGCAAACGACUUAACUGGAGUAGGUGAGAGGGUGGCGGAAUUUCCGGUGUAGCGGUGAAAUGCGUAGAGAUCGGAAGGAACGUCAAUGGCGAAGGCAGCCACCUGGCACCAUACUGACGCUGAGGCGCGAGAGCGUGGGGAGCGAACAGG
rnacentral:rRNA from 1 species